rnacentral:snoRNA from 1 species
GGAUGAGACUGAUGAUGGAACCGUCUGACACGCCGCCCCCCGCCGGCGCCGACGGUGCCUCCAAGGUCGUAACUCCUGCUCAUCUCUCUCCUCGUCGUCACCUACCUCUCUCUGGCACUCACUCACUCAAUCUUGCGCCUGAUUUGCUUC